UACGUAGGGUGCGAGCGUUAAUCGGAAUAACUGGGCGUAAAGGGUGUGUAGGCGGAAAUGUAAGUUAGAUGUGAAAAGCCUGAGCUUAACUUAGGUCGUGCAUUUAAGACUGCAUAUCUAGAGUCAGUGAGAGGGAGGUAGAAUUCCAAGUGUAGCAGUGAAAUGCGUAGAGAUUUGGAGGAAUACCGAUGGCGUAGGCAGCCUCCUGGCAUGAGACUGACGCUGAGACACGAAAGCGUGGGAAGCAAACAGG
rnacentral:rRNA from 1 species